GAUGAACGCUGGCGGCGUGCUUAACACAUGCAAGUCGAACGGAAAGGCCAGUGCUUGCACUGGUACUCGAGUGGCGAACGGGUGAGUAACACGUGGGUGAUCUGCCCUGCACUUCGGGAUAAGCCUGGGAAACUGGGUCUAAUACCGGAUAGGACAAUGGUUUGGAUGCCGUUGUGGAAAGUUUUUUCGGUGUGGGAUGAGCUCGCGGCCUAUCAGCUUGUUGGUGGGGUAAUGGCCUACCAAGGCGUCGACGGGUAGCCGGCCUGAGAGGGUGUACGGCCACAUUGGGACUGAGAUACGGCCCAGACUACUACGGGAGGCAGCAGUGGGGAAUAUUGCACAAUGGGCGCAAGCCUGAUGCAGCGACGCCGCGUGGGGGAUGACGGCCUUCGGGUUGUAAACUCCUUUCGCUAGGGACGAAGCGUAUUUGUGACGGUACCUGGAGAAGAAGCACCGGCUAACUACGUG
rnacentral:rRNA from 1 species